GAUGAACGCUAGCGGCAGGCUUAACACAUGCAAGUCGAGGGGUAUAGUAGCAAUACUAGAGACCGGCGCGCGGGUGCGUAACGCGUAUGCAAUCUACCUUUUACAGAGGGAUAGCCCAGAGAAAUUUGGAUUAAUACCUCAUAGUAUAACGACCUGACAUCAGGAUGUUAUUAAAGUCACAACGGUAAAGAUGAGCAUGCGUCCCAUUAGCUUGUUGGAAGGUAACGGCUUACCAA
rnacentral:rRNA from 1 species